AUUGAACGCUGGCGGCAGGCCUAACACAUGCAAGUCGAGCGGAUGAAGGGAGCUUUCUCCUGGAUUCAGCUGCGGACGGGUGAGUAAUGCCUAGGAAUCUGCCUUGUAGUGGGGGAUAACGUCAGGAAACGGGCGCUAAUACCGCAUACGUCCUGAGGGAGAAAGUGGGGGAUCUUCGGACCUCACGCUAUUAGAUGAGCCUAGGUCGGAUUAGCUAGUUGGUGGGGUAAAGGCCUACCAAGGCGACGAUCCGUAACUGGUCUGAGAGGAUGAUCAGUCGCACUGGAACUGAGACACGGUCCAGACUCCUACGGGAGGCAGCAGUGGGGAAUAUUGGACAAUGGGCGAAAGCCUGAUCCAGCCAUGCCGCGUGUGUGAAGAAGGUCUUCGGAUUGUAAAGCACUUUUAGUUGGGAGGAAGGGCAGUAUGUUAAUACCUUGCUGUUUUGACGUUACCAACAGAAUAAGCACCGGCUAACUUCGUG
rnacentral:rRNA from 1 species